rnacentral:rRNA from 1 species
CAUGCAUGUCUAAGUAUAAGCAACUAUACGGUGAAACUGCGAAUGGCUCAUUAAAUCAGUUAUCGUUUAUUUGAUAGUACCUUACUACAUGGAUAACCGUGGUAAUUCUAGAGCUAAUACAUGCUAAAAACCUCGACUUCGGAAGGGGUGUAUUUAUUAGAUAAAAAACCAAUGCCCUUCGGGGCUCCUGGUGAAUCAUAAUAACUUAACGAAUCGCAUGGCCUUGCGCCGGCGAUGGUUCAUUCAAAUUUCUGCCCUAUCAACUUUCGAUGGUAGGAUAGUGGCCUACCAUGGUAUCAACGGGUAACGGGGAAUUAGGGUUCGACUCCGGAGAGGGAGCCUGAGAAACGGCUACCACAUCCAAGGAAGGCAGCAGGCGCGCAAAUUACCCAAUCCCGACACGGGGAGGUAGUGACAAUAAAUACUGAUACAGGGCUCUUUUGGGUCUUGUAAUUGGAAUGAGUACAAUUUAAAUCCCUUAACGAGGAACAAUUGGAGGGCAAGUCUGGUGCCAGCAGCCGCGGUAAUUCCAGCUCCAAUAGCGUAUAUUAAAGUUGUUGCAGUUAAAAAGCUCGUAGUUGAACCUUGGGCCUGGCUGGCCGGUCCGCCUCACCGCGUGUACUGGUCCGGCCGGGCCUUUCCUUCUGGGGAACCUCAUGCCCUUCACUGGGCGUGUUGGGGAACCAGGACUUUUACUUUGAAAAAAUUAGAGUGUUCAAAGCAGGCCUUUGCUCGAAUACAUUAGCAUGGAAUAAUAGAAUAGGACGUGUGGUUCUAUUUUGUUGGUUUCUAGGACCGCCGUAAUGAUUAAUAGGGAUAGUCGGGGGCAUCAGUAUUCAAUCGUCAGAGGUGAAAUUCUUGGAUUGAUUGAAGACUAACUACUGCGAAAGCAUUUGCCAAGGAUGUUUUCAUUAAUCAGUGAACGAAAGUUAGGGGAUCGAAGACGAUCAGAUACCGUCGUAGUCUUAACCAUAAACUAUGCCGACUAGGGAUCGGACGGUGUAGUAUUUUGACCCGUCGGCACCUUACGAGAAAUCAAAGUUUUUGGGUUCUGGGGGGAGUAUGGUCGCAAGGCUGAAACUUAAAGAAAUU